GACGAGGUGGCCGAGUGGUUAAAAUUUUAUGGACUGCUAAUCCAUUGUGCUCUGCAAAUAUGGAUUCAAUCCCAUCCUCGUCG